AGAGUUUGAUGGUGGCUCAGAAUCAACGCUGGCGGCGUGCCUAACACAUGCAAGUCGAGCGAGAAAGGGAACUUCGGUUCCUGAGUACAGCGGCGCACGGGUGAGUAUCACGUGGGUAACCUGCCUCGGAGUGGGGAAUAACACCGGGAAACCGGUGCUAAUACCGCAUACGAUCACGGAGUCUUCGGAUUCCGUGAUGAAAGGAACUUUCGCUCUGAGAGGGGCCCGCGCCCGAUUAGCUAGUUGGUGAGGUAACGGCUCACCAAGGCCACGAUCGGUAGCCGGUCUGAGAGGACGGUCGGCCACACUGGAACUGAGACACGGUCCAGACUCCUACGGGAGGCAGCAGUGGGGAAUUUUUGACAAUGGGGGAAACCCUGAUCAAGCAACGCCGCGUGGAUGAUGAAGUAUCUCGGUACGUAAAAUCCUUUCGACAGGGAAGAAGCCUUCGGGUUGACGGUACCUGUAGAAGAAGCCCCGGCUAACUCCGUGCCAGCAGCCGCGGUAAUACGGGGGGGGCAAGCGUUGUUCGGAUUUACUGGGCGUAAAGGGCGCGUAGGCGGUUCGUUAAGUCGGAUGUGAAAACUCUGGGCUCAACCCAGAGCCUGCAUCCGAUACUGGCGGACUAGAGUGCGAGAGGGGAAAGCGGAAUUCCUGGUGUAGCGGUGAAAUGCGUAGAUAUCAGGAGGAACACCUGCGGCGAAGGCGGCUUUCUGGAUCGCAACUGACGCUGAGGCGCGAAAGCUAGGGGAGCAAACAGGAUUAGAUACCCUGGUAGUCCUAGCCCUAAACGAUGGAUACUUGGUGUGGGAGGGGGUUGAAUCCUUCCGUGCCGGAGCUAACGCGUUAAGUAUCCCGCCUGGGGGAGUACGGUCGCAAGGCUGAAACUCAAAGGAA
rnacentral:rRNA from 1 species